rnacentral:misc_RNA from 1 species
GGGCUGAUAGAUUACCGCCCUUUCGGAAUGCUUAUACCCAAUGAUUCUUAGUCCAUGACACAAAAUAAACUAGCAUCAUUGCAGAAUUUCUAAUCCUUUUCUGGAGGCCCAAUAUGAGCAAUGGCAGUGUGAAAAGAUACAGAAACUUAUAACGUGUACAAUAAUAAAGCAGUGGAAAUUGGGAUAGAAUUUCAACAAAAC